rnacentral:rRNA from 1 species
CCUACGGGAGGCUGCAGUGGGGAAUCUUCCGCAAUGGGCGAAAGCCUGACGGAGCAACGCCGCGUGGGGGAUGAAGGCCUUCGGGGUGUAAACUCCUGAACCCGGGACGAAACCCCCGACGAGGGGACUGACGGUACCGGGGUAAUAGCGCCGGCCAACUCCGUGCCAGCAGCCGCGGUAAUACGGAGGGCGCGAGCGUUACCCGGAUUCACUGGGCGUAAAGGGCGUGUAGGCGGCCUGGGGCGUCCCAUGUGAAAGACCACGGCUCAACCGUGGGGGGGCGUGGGAUACGCUCAGGCUAGACGGUGGGAGAGGGUGGUGGAAUUCCCGGAGUAGCGGUGAAAUGCGCAGAUACCGGGAGGAACGCCGAUGGCGAAGGCAGCCACCUGGUCCACCCGUGACGCUGAGGCGCGAAAGCGUGGGGAGCAAACCGGAUUAGAUACCCUAGUAGUC